GACGAACGCUGGCGGCGUGCUUAACACAUGCAAGUCGAGCGGUAAGGCCUUUCGGGGUACACGAGCGGCGAACGGGUGAGUAACACGUGGGUGAUCUGCCCUGCACUUCGGGAUAAGCCUGGGAGACUGGGUCUAAUACCGGAUAUGACCUCCUAUCGCAUGGUGGGUGGUGGAAAGAUUUAUCGGUACAGGAUGGGCCCGCGGCCUAUCAGCUUGUUGGUGGGGUAAUGGCCUACCAAGGCGACGACGGGUAGCCGACCUGAGAGGGUGACCGGCCACACUGGGACUGAGACACGGCCCAGACUCCUACGGGAGGCAGCAGUGGGGAAUAUUGCACAAUGGGCGAAAGCCUGAUGCAGCGACGCCGCGUGAGGGAUGACGGCCUUCGGGUUGUAAACCUCUUUCAGCAGGGACGAAGCGCAAGUGACGGUACCUGCAGAAGAAGCACCGGCUAACUACGUG
rnacentral:rRNA from 1 species